rnacentral:rRNA from 1 species
UACGUAGGGAGCAAGCGUUGUUCGGAUUUACUGGGCGUAAAGGGUGUGUAGGUGGCGCCGUAAGUCGGGUGUGAAAUUUCGGAGCUUAACUCCGAAACUGCAUUCGAUACUGCGGUGCUUGAGGACUGGAGAGGAGACUGGAAUUCAUGGUGUAGCAGUGAAAUGCGUAGAGAUCAUGAGGAAGACCAGUGGCGAAGGCGGGUCUCUGGACAGUUCCUGACACUGAGACACGAAGGCCAGGGGAGCAAACGGG